rnacentral:rRNA from 1 species
UACGUAGGGUGCGAGCGUUAAUCGGAAUUACUGGGCGUAAAGCGUGCGUAGGCGGUUCUCUAAGUCCGUUGUGAAAGCCCCGGGCUCAACCUGGGAAUGGCAGUGGAAACUAGGGGACUGGAAUCUGGCAGAGGGGGGUGGAAUGCCGCGUGUAGCAGUGAAAUGCGUAGAGAUGCGGCGGAACACCGAUGGCGAAGGCAGCCCCCUGGGCUGAGAUUGACGCUCAGGCACGAAAGCGUGGGGAGCAAACAGG